GGGGAAUCCGGACGUACGGCUCGAAGAACUAUGAAUGGUGACGCACGUGACGUGACAGUCUGCCAUCGCGUAUCACCUCUGCGGGGGUGUUUGGGAGAAGGGGGCUAAAUUUUAGCCCCCGUCACAUCGAAUGUUUGGACACCAAUUAGGAGUAUUAAACCUAGACUAAUUACAAAACUAAUUACACAACCCCUAGGCUAAAUCGCGAGACGAAUCUAUUAAGCCUAAUUAGUCCAUGAUUUGAC
rnacentral:lncRNA from 1 species